UUUAAAUUCGUUUUCGGUAGCACUAUUCUGGAUAAUGAUAUGGAAAAGAAAAAAUUAAACCAGAAAAAACGGAGUAAAUCGAAGAAACCCGGCUUUCUGAAAAACUUUUUUAUGUGUAUUUUGAAAAAUGACGAAGAAGAAGAUACAAAUCCACGUAAUCAGACAAAUGUGAGUUUCAAACCGUCUAAAAUAAUGCCUGCUAAACGUGAAGUAUCCGUUACUUUCUCAACCACUUCUUCAUAUUACCUUAUGCAACCGGUGUUAGCUAAAUUAGAGAAUAUGUCACCGAACAACGCACUAUUGUCUCAAGCUUAUUCAGAAAAAUUCGAAAGUAGUUCAAUCGAACAGGAAGAAACUCUUCCGCCGAAACCUGAGGAGCUGCGUAAAGAAGUUGAGAAAGAACAGAAAGACCAGUUAGUUAGAUCAAUACUCAGUAAGUACUUACAAAUGAAAAGAGAAGACAUGUUGAAUAAAAUACCAGAAACUGAAAACGAAAAUCAAGAAAGUAUGAACUCGCCUCAAAGUCAAAAAGGCGAUUUUCUAAACGUCGAUUGCUUUGCAAGCGAUAGCUCAGAUACAAUAUUGUUGGAGAAUGCCGUAAGUAACCAGGAGUUAGAUAUAAAGAACCAAAGACCAAAAACAGAAUUUCCGACAAAGAGCAGAAGCGCUCCAACGAAUAGUACAGCUCACGAUAGCCUCGCCGACAUUUGCUUUAAAAUGAGUCGUUACAAACAGCAAGAAAAUAAGUCUGACAGUUACGUAACUUGUUGCAGUGAAGAAACUACCAAAGACAAUGCCACAACGUCGAAAAAGAAAUUGGAACUUAUAUUUAACCCAUCAUCCGAAGAAAACUCGUCGUGUCUAGAAGACAAUUCUUCGUUUUCGUUACAGUACGAAAUAAGCUGCGAAAGAACGCCUGUGGCAACAGUUGUAGAUGUGAGUCAUUUGGUGGAUUAUUCUUGCAGUUGCAACAUAACGGAAACGAAAAAACUUAUAAUUUCGUGACGAAGCAUUCAAGAGGAACGAAGAUUGCCUCUCCAGAGUUAUACUUAAAUCCACCUCCAUACGUGAAAGGUGAAAUCGAUGGACUAAAUGGAUCUAGUUCAUCACUUAAAUGGAAAUUAAUUAUUUCGCAUCAUGGACGAGGAGAUUUUCGUUAAUUAACAAGCAUCAGACGAAAAGUGAUCUCUUUAUUUGAGCUUAAUAAAUUCACUCUUCUUGACAUGAUUAAUA